rnacentral:lncRNA from 1 species
CACAUUUCCUCCCAUUCCUGUACCUAUUUAUGCAUUCUGCAGCAGGAUUAACCAUGCCUCAAGUAGAGUAAGAGAGAACUACGUACAUAUAUACUCACAUCAUGCGACAUUUUUAAUGCACAACUCGCCAGAAGAUGGGGAGAUUUUAUUCAAUAACUUGUCAUUGCAUAUUUGCAAAUGAAUACAUAACUCAUAACAUCAUUAGAGCUUGCAUAUGGAUAGGCGUCGUUCCUUCAAGCCCAGUAUGCGAUGGUUGCAGUAGUAAGAGCCAAUGUCCCCACCAGCCCGUUCUGCUUUUUGAAAGGAGAAACUCGGGUCCGACCAAAGCCAAAGUUUGAAUUCGGGGGGCUGUCGAAGUGUUCUUGGCACUCAUAUGCGAGGGCAGCGAUGGUCAUCAUCGGACUGUGAACUCUCUUGUAAUCUCCUCCGUCUAUGGCGUUCGUGAUCCCCUUGAGGUAUCGCUGAGCCAUCUUGUACUCCAAACGGCAUGCUUGAAGGCAGUCUUUUGACCAAGGAUCGGUUUCCUUGGGGAAGAGCUUAUCGGCGAUGGAGUAGAUCUCAAGCACCCUGGAGCGCACGUUCUCGUACAGGAUCUUCAAGAAGACAUUGCGAUCCUCGGUGUUGCUGCGGCUGUCAUGCUUGAGAACAUUGACGCAGACGUCGUAGUCGGUGGAGUUUUGGCACACGUAGUCGAUCGCCUUCGUCGCUUUCUCGUCGUUUGGAACAGGCUUGGCUGCAAGGGUGGCAGGGGGAGAUGGGGAGGCAGGUUGGGGGGGAUGACAUGAUACGAGAACGAGGGACAAGAGAACUGUGAAGCCAAAGGCUACGAAGGAUUUGGAUGCCAUUCUUUGCCUCUCGCUCUCUCUUCUUUCGUCCCUCUUCCCUGCCGCUCCCACACCGAAUUCUUCAAUGCCAACCCCGCCCCUACAUAUAUCGGAGAACUCGUCUUCGGUUAGUGGUCGGACCGGCGUUGUCGGAAAAUCCUUGUCAACUAAAAAUUAUUCUUUGGUACGUCCUUAAUUAGCGGUUACCCUCUCGCUAUGCCAUCGUAACAACUUCCCAUAUUUUUAUGCGCCCAAAAUCCGAUCCGUCACCUUUGUCCAACCACUAUAACCGUUAAUUUGCCCGCAAAAUCCUCUCCUCAUCAUCUUUCUCCAAACGCUUGAAUCCCUCUACUCCAUUCCUUUCCUUAAUCACCUGCCCAAAAUUGUCUUCGCCAGGCAUCCCUUUGAAGGAAGACUCGUCUGAAAAAUUCAACUAGUCAGUUCGAGAAUGGGGAGGGGUUAGCUUUGUGGACCAAGGUCACGGUCAGGGCUUCCGAGGAGACGUAAACUCACCUUCCCUAGAGACAUACAAGCACACAUGCAUCCUAUAUAUGAAUGUAGAGUAGUAUACUUCAUUUUAUAUAGUUGUACUUUUUGAGCAACUUUAGACUAAAAGACGAAUGAAAUUAAUCUUAACUCUUGAUUUGUCAUUGUAUUUUUUUUCACUCAAAAAAUAAAAAGAUUUGUUGCUGUAUUUGUUUGAAAUUGUUCUAGGAUUUUUUUAAAAAAAUAACAAAUUGCCAUUAGUAGACUGAUUUUUGCAGAGUUUCAAAUUAUUUAAAUAAAUCAAAUUAUUAGUUUUCGGUAAUAAGUCGUUCAAAAUAAAUUAAUAAGGUAAAAAGGUGCACAAGAAAAAGGUGUUGAUAGGAGGCAAAAUGGAUCGUCCUGCUCAGGACUGGAGACCACCCCGUUCCAGCUAAGCAGACCUCAGUGCCGACGGGGCCAGAGCUCGGUCCCGCUGAGAGCCAGUCCUACAUCGGACCUCGCCGAAAGCCAAGCCAACUUCGAUCAGGUCUCUCCGCUGCUACGACCUGCAGCAACCUCCUCUAGAGUCUACAACGACGACAUGCUCCGACUCAAGGUCAGGGCGUCCUAUAGUGCCAACUAAUAGCCGAAAAGGCUCCAUUGACCACAGGCAAUGAUGCCUCGACCCGAGCUCGGGACACUCUACUGAGCAGACCUCAAAAUCAAGGAGGCUAAGCCGAUCUCAGAACCCACCAAGCCGACCUCACCGAAUAUUUGUCGUGGCCCCCAUGUCGGCCCGACCUCAGUGCCCGGCCAAGCGGGCAAGGCCGACCUCGGCCUCCGUUGAAAGCCGAGCUAAUCUCGCCCAGUACGUGCCGCGGCCAUGCCGUGCAGCAGCCUCACCGCACCAUGCUUCGCUUGAUGGCCACGUAAAGACACCUCAACAAAGGACUACGCCUUGCUGCCCCAGCCAUGCUUUCUGAUAAGGGCCAUACCCUGCGGCAUACACCAACGCCAUACCAUGCGCAGAGACAGCUCAAUCCGUGUGCCUUAAGCAAGCCAUGGCCGCGCGCCACCUGGUCAGCGCCAUCUCCUCCCAUGAUGAGGAUGGGCCAUACCUCCGCCAUCUGGGCACCUCUGUGGGAACUAUAAAUAGCCCAAUUAGGUAACACCUGAGAACCUUUUGGCCAACAAAAACUCCACACUAACUUAAGCAUCGGAUGACUCUCACCGGAAUCAUCAGUGAGGCUUUGUGCAGGUACGUCGGCGUCCAGCAAGCGGAGUUCCUUCACCGACUCAACCAGCAGCUUCUCCGACUCCUCCGGCGUGGUCACCCUCAGGCUAAAUUUGAACCACAGCAUCUGGCGCUAGAGGAAGGGACCGAGUCGUGGUUAUGAAAUUGAGGAGCCAAGCAGCUUCAAAUGCAUCAAGGAGCCGGGCAUCAGCUCCCGGCAACUCGCUCCAAAGUCCACCCCCUGCAGAACCGGCGGACCGAAUUUCUCAGAUCCAGCCGGAGCAGUUCAACCUGCUUGUCCAACAAGUCCAAGCGCCUACUGCGGCCGUUCAAGGCCUGCAGCAAGCAGGAGACCGGCCUAUACUCCCUCCUCAUGAGCAUGAGUCCCCAAGACGUUGCUCGCGACGUCAUUCUCCUAUGGAGCAUCGCCACCAUUGAAGCUCCCACCGAGCUCGGUCCCCAAGCCCGAAGGGCUCGUCACAUAGCCACUAUCCUAAGAGAUUAUGCUAAAGUUUGAUACCCCGAGCACGGAAGAAACCCUCAGAGGCGGGGUCUGCCCCAGGCUGGGCACCUUGCAAUGCCGACCAAGAGCCGAAGAAGCUCCGUCGACCGCUGGCGAUGACAUCCCUGCCCGAGCUCGACAAAAAAGUCGAAGAGUUUGAACGACAGAUCCAAAUGCUCCGAGACCAAGCCUCGAAGUAGGACGUCGACCUCGAGUUCACAACCGAGUCUCCCUUCCCUCGAUGGGUCAUCGAUGAACCGAUUUCUCAGAGGUUUAAAAUGCCGCAGAUCGAGUCGUAUGAUGGCUCGUCUAAUCCUCUAAAUCAUGUGGAGAGCUACAAGACCCACAUGGCACUCCAGGGGGCCACAGAUGCCCUACUUUGCAGGGCCUUCUCGGCGACUCUCCGCAAAGAAGCCCGCCUCUGAUUUUUUGGGCUGAGGCCCAGCUCGAUUCUGUCCUUUGAACAACUAGGCAGGCAGUUUGCAACCCACUUCGCUGCCAGCCGGCAUCAUCGUCGGACUUCAGACUCCCUCCUUGACAUCAAACAGAAAGAGGGAGAACUCCUGAAAGACUACAUCGAUCGCUUCACCUCGACAACAUGGGGGUUCGCAAUCUCGACCAGUCUAUCACCAUGUCAGCAUUGAAGACUAGAGCUCGGUCUUACAAAUUUCUCUUCUCCAUUGAGAAGAACUUUCUUGCCGAAUUCGCAGAGAUGUUAGCCCGAACUCGAAAGUACGCCAAAGCUGAGGAAGCAAUGGCUUCUCGGCGCAAGGUGGCCGAGCGACCUACCAAGUUGCAGAAGCAGCGCCACGAGGAGUGCUCCUGACUAAGGAGCAGGUCUUCCCAACACGAGAAGAAUCCUCCUCGGCUCAAAAGUCCGGCUCGCCCAAGGUCAUCCCUCUAGAAGCCUGGGAGAUACACUCUUUCUCAGAAGUUCGGAAGGUAUACUCCCCUCACAUCCAUCCGGGCCCAGAUCCUUAUGGAGAUCGAGGGUCGCAGCUACCUCCAACCCCCAUCAAAGAUGCGACCGUCAGAGUUACAGGAGCACUCGAACAAGUACUAUCACUUCCAUAGAGACUACGACCACAAUAUGGAGAACUGCUAUUAAUUCCGUGAUGAGAUUGAGGCACUCAUCGGCCGAGGUCGAUUGGGCCGGUUCGUCCGCAACCGAGCCGAAAGGAGGGAGCCCAAGGAGCAUAACCCAGAGUCGCCCGAGAAGCAAAACGACAACUAAUCUGUCGCGGGCAUCAUCAACACCAUCGAAAGGGGCCAGCGAAGGCCCCUGGAGUGCCGAGCCAGGGAGAAGGAACUUUCUCAAAGCGCCCGCGCAAUACGGAAGUUAUCUCCCUCUCCGUUGAAGAUCUGAAGGGUGGUAAGACCACCAUGACGAUGCUGUAGUUAUUUUUCUCACCAUUGCAAACUUUGAUGUAAAAAGAGUUUUGGUGAAUAAAGGAAGUUCUGCAGACGUCUUAUUUUAUAAUAUCUUUCAAAGGAUAGGAAUGAUGGUAAAGCAACUUGAAAAAAUGAGUACCACUCUGAUCGAAUUCACAAGAGAUUCUGUGCCAGUAGAGGAAAUCAUCGACCUGCCAAUCACGAUCGGACGCGCACCCCGAGAGAGCACUAUGAAGUUAAACUUUCUUGUGGUCAGGGUUGGCUCGGCCUACAACGUCAUCAUUGGCCGACCAGGGCUGAACGUCCUCCGAGCUAUGAUUUCCACCUACCACCUGCUCAUACGGUUCCCCACAAGUUAAGGAGUCGGCAAAGUCUAAGGAAAUCAAGCAACAGCUAAGCAAUGUUACAUGACUGCACUCAAAGGCAAGCAGUCGGUCGAGCUCCCGGCUCAAGCACUACCCAUUGAAGGGUUCAAUGUGUGAGAUGAACCGAGAUAGCAACGAGGUGGACCCGACGAGUGCCUCCUCUACAUUCCCUUAAGAGACGGCCAACCCGAGCAAACUGUGUAGAUCGGGUCUGGCUUAGGCGCAAAGAUGCGAGCUCGUAUCAUCGAGUUCCUUCGGGCCAAUGCUGACAUGUUUGCCUGGUCGCCUGUUGAUAUGCCAGAAAUAGAUCCUGAGGUGAUGGUCCACCAACUCAAGGUGCAGCCAGCCUACAAGCCUGUCAGGCAGAAGAAGCGAACUCUCGCAACAGACCGGCAGCAGGUGGUGGCUGAAGAAAUCGACAAGCUCCUCAAGGCUGGCUUCAUCAGGGAGGUCACUUAUCCUGAUUGGCUUGCCAAUGUUGUUCUGGUGAAAAAAGCCAAAGAAAAAUGGCAUAUGUGCAUAGACUACACCGACUUGGACAAGACCUGCCCAGAGGACAACUUUUCUCUUCCAAGCAUCGACCAGCUCGUCGACGCCACCUCCGGACAUCAACUCCUGACUUUCAUAGAUGCCUUUUCGGAGUACAACCAAAUUCAAAUGGCACCAAAAGAUGAGGAGAAGACCGCCUUCAUUACUGACAAGGGCCUCCAUUGCUAUAAAGUUAUGCCUUUCGGGUUGAAGAAUGCCGGGGCAACCUAUCAGCGGCUUGUCAGUAAGAUCUUCAAGAAUCAGAUCGGGUGAAAUAUGGAGGUCUAUAUGGAUGACAUGCUAAUUAAGAGCCCGGCGGCCGAACAGCACAUCGCCGACCUGGACGAGGCAUUCUCCACUUUUUGGAGGUACCAAAUAAAGCUCAACCCCACGAAGUGCGCCUUCGGAGUCACUUCUGUAAAGUUCCUUGACUUCGUUGUGAUGCAAUGGGGGAUUGAAGUAAACUCCAAGAAGAUUCGGGCGUUGCAAGAAAUGACACCGCCAAAGACAGUCAAAGAGGUGCAGUAGCUCGCUGGAUGAAUAGCUUCCCUCGAAAGAUUUGUCGCCAGAUCAGCAGAACGGUACCUUCCUUUCUUCUAGGUUCUCAAGAGGCCGAAGGACUUUGUAUGGUCCGAGGAGUGCCAACGAGCUUUUAACGAGCUCAGGCGCUACUUUGCCUCUUCUCCGCUGCUUACAAAGCCCCAGUGCGGAGAACUUCUCUACCUAUACCUCGCAGUUUCCCCGACGGCCGUGAGCUCGAUACUGGUCUGAGAAGAAGAAAGAUGCCAGAGACCUGUCUACUACACCAGCCGAAUUCUGCGAGAUGCGGAGACCAGAUAUUCCAAGCUGGAGCAAACAGUCUACGCACUUGUCACCUCGACUCGCAAGCUUUGACCUUACUUCCAGGCGCAUACCAUAGCAAUGCUAAUCGACCAUCCCAUAAAACAAAUCUUGCAGCGAUUCGAUCGAGCCAAAAGGAUCAUAAAAUGGGCGGUUGAGCUCGGAGAAUUUGACAUCGGAUAUCGCUCGAGGCCGGCGAUCAAAGCACAAGUGCUGGCCGACUUCCUAGUGGAGUCCACUCUGUCGGAUGACCCUCAAACUGAGCUCAGCCUGGAGGAAGAAAAAGAUGUCCCCGAACAACCCUGGAUUCCACAUGUAGAUGGCUCUUCGACCUUGGGGGGCAGCGACGCAAGCCUCAUUCUCACCAGCCCGGAUGGAGUUAUAGCAGAGCCAACUCUACGCUUUAAGUUUCCUGCUUCCAACAACGAGGCAGAGUACAAAGCGCUAAUUGUCGGGCUAAAAUUAGCCAAGGAGCUCAAUGUCCACUGCCUGAAGAUCUUCAGCGACUCCCAGAUCGUGGCGAGCCAAGUCUUGGGAGAUUUCGAAGCUUGGAGCCAUCAAUGAUGAAGUGUCUCCAAAAGGUAUGGAACAUCACUUCAACUAUGAGCAACUUCGACGUCCAGCAUAUCUCCAAGAUAGAGAAUGCAAAAGCUGACUUGCUGUCGAAGUUAGCAACGUUCAGCUCGGCCGAACUCCUAAAGAGCACCUUCGUCGAGUGCUUGAAGGCACCGAGCGUAGAAGACCCUGAACCGGUACUGUGCAUAGAAACCAAGCCGAGCUGGAUGGACCCAUUCACCGACUUCUUACAAGACAGAGUCCUUCCUACGGACAAGCUUGAAGCCUGACAUCUUGAACGUUAGGCCACUCGGUACCUCAUGUACGGAGGCAAGCUGUACCGCCAAUCAUUCACAUCGCCACUCCUCAGAUGUCUCCACCCCUUAGACGCGAACUAUGUGAUGCAGGAGGUACAUAAAGGAAUCUGUGGAAGUCGUCAAGGAAGCAGAGCCCUAGCACAUAAGAUUCUGUAGCAAGGGUACUACUGGCCCACACUACAAAAGGACAUGGUGGAGUUCGUCCAAAGAUGUGGCCAGUGCCAACGCCACGCCAAUGUCCAACGUAGACCCUUGAUCCCAUUGAUGCCGAUCACUGCCCCCUAGCCAUUUGCCCAAUAGGGAAUUAAUAUAUUGGGGCCCUUCCCUCCAGCUACAGAAAAGAAGAAAAAAAAUUUAUCGUCACCAUCGACUACUUUACAAAGCAGGUUGAGGCAGAACCUGUAGCCUAAAUCACCGAACCGAAGGUGCAAAGCUUCAUCUGGAGGAUGAUAAUCUGCCGGUUCGGACUUUUCCGAGUCAUCAUAUCCGACAAUGACUGCCAAUUUGAUAAUGCUCGGUUCAAGAAAUUCUGCUCCGAGCUCAGCAUUGACCAUCGCUUUACAUCAGUGGCUCACCCCUAAAUCAAUGGGGAAGCAGAAGUGACCAACCGCACAAUCUUGCAAGGGUUCAAAGCCAAACUGGACCGAGCAAAGGGGCAAUCCGACAAUCUCUACAAUAUCCUGUGGGCAUAUCGGACGACCUUUCAAGUUUCCACUGAAGAGACCCCUUUCAACCUGUCUUAUGGCACAGAGACGGUCAUUCCCCUUGAGGUCGAGUUACCCUCACCCCGGGUUGAAGGCUUUGAUGCCACAACCAACUCGGCAUGGCUCUGGAGUAACCUCGACCUACUUAAAGAAAUAAGGGAGGUAGCUUAGAUUCGGAUGGCGAGAUGCCAGCGAAAAGCAGCGCCAUACUAUAACUCCAGAAUUAAAGUCAAAUCUUUCAAGGUCGGCGACCUCGUCUUGAGGAAGGCUGAAGCCUCUCGACCUCUGAAACAAGAAAAGCUCAUCCCAAACUGGGAAGGACCAUGCCGAGUCGUCCGAAUCCAGCAGCCUAGAGCUUAUAAGAUGGAAUUCUAAGAUGGUAAUUUAGUUCCUCGAAGCUAGAAUUCUGCAAAUCUUAGAAGAUAUUAUCAAUGAAAACAACCUUCGAGGACUUCUUUGAAGUAUCUUUGAAAUGUUGUGUCUGAAUUGGCAUAUCUUGGUCGUCCUCACGGUGCGAGCCCACUACCACAAUAUAAUGACGUCCCGAGCCGGAGCUCGGGAUGCCCUGCAGUGUUGACCAAGAGCUGAAGAGGUUCAGUCAACCGUUAGCAGGAUAAUGACGUCCUGGGCUCGAGCUCGGGACGCCCUGCAGUGUUGACCAAGAGCCGAAGAGGCCCCGUCAAUCGUUAGUAGGAUAAUGAUGUCUCAGGCCCGAGCUCGGGAUGCCAUGUAGUGUUGACCAAUAGCCGAAGAGGCUCCGUCAACCGUUAGCAGGAUAAUGACGUCCUGAGCCCAAGCUCGGGAUGCCCUGCAGUGUUGACCAAGAGCCGAAGAGGCCCCAUCAAUCGUUAGCAGGAUAAUGACGUCCUGAGCCCAAGCUCGGGAUGCCCUGCAGUGUUGACCAAGAGCCGAAGAGACCCCAUCAAUCGUUAGUAGGAUAAUGACGUCCCAGGCCUGAGCUCGGGAUGCCCUGCAGUGUUGACCAAGAGCUGAAGAGGCUCUGUCAACCGUUUGCAGGGUAAUGACGUCCCGGGCCGAGACGUCCUGCAGUGUUGACCAAGAGCCGAAGAGGCCCCGUCAACUAUUAGCAAGACAAUGAUGCCCCGAUCUGAGUGGAGGCGCCCUCCAACGUCGACCAAGAGCCGAAGAGGCCCCGUCGACCGCCUGUGUUUAUAAUGAAGCCCCAAUCUGGGUGGGGGCGCCCUGCAACGUCGAUAAAGAGCCGAAGAGGCCCCAUCAACCGCCAGUGUUUAUAAUGAUGCCUCGAUCUGAGUGGGAGGCGUCUUGCAACGUCGACCAAGAGCCGAAGAGGCCCCAUCGACCGUCCGUGUUUAUAAUCACACUCCGAUCUAAGUGGGGCACCCUGCAAUGUCGACUAAAAGCCGAAGAGGCUCCGUCAACUGCCCAUGUUUAUAAUGGCGCCCCGAUCUGAGUGGGGCGCCUUGCAACAUCGACCAAGAGCCGAAGAGGCCCCGUCCGCUGCCCGUGUUUAUAAUGACGCCCAGAUCUAAGUGGGGGCGCCUUGCAAUGUUGACCAAAAGCCGAAGAGGCUCCGUCGAUCGCCGUGUUUAUAAUGAUGCCUCGAUCUGAGUGGGGGCGCCUUGCAACGUCGACCAAAAGCUGAAUAGUCCCCGUCAACCAUCCAUGUUUAUAGUGAUGCCUCGAUCUGAGUGGGGGCACCCUGCAACAUCGACCAAAAGCCGAAAAGGCUCCCUCCACCUCAGCCUCGGAAAAAAUCUGAGGGCGACCGAGCUUAAAUCGAGCGCCCCGGUUAAAGUCUACAGAGAUCUACAAGGCAAGAAGGAGCCAAAGCUCAUGACGACAUUCUACCGAAAAGGUCCCCCAGCACACUAUAGUGCAAAAAGACGAGGACCCAGAGCUCAGUUCUCGCAAAAAGGUCCGAAGCAGACCUAAUGCUCGACCUGGGUGCCUAAAGUGCCCCAGCGGACGAGCUUGGGAGCAACGAGCUCUUUGCCAAUUCUGUAAAGUUAUAAGUUGGGAGCAAGGGCCGAGCACAACAACUUAGCCAAAGUUAUCUGGCAGCAUGAAGGCUAAGCCAGUACCCAAGUUAUACAGUUCGGACCUUGUUAGCCGAACACAAAGGUCCAACGCAAAGCACUAAAAGUAAGGCGAGUUCAAAUACUGUCAGCUUUCAAAAUGCAAAGUGUUGGAGAAAAUGCACUUUAUUAAUAUUGAAAGGCCAAGGGCCAAGUACAAAAUGAGCCGACCUUGAGGUCGGGCUGAAUACAAAAAGGCCUAAGUGGCCGACCUAGCAAGGGCAAAAGGAAAAAGAAAACGAGUAGAAAAGAACUAUUAACUUCAGCAGCUUCUGACCCGACCUCAGUGGCGCCCUCUACAGCAUCCCAGACUGUCACCUCGGUGACGAGCUCGCGCACCUCGGCGACCUCGCUUGCUCCAGACAUCACUUACCCCGUCGUUGGCAGGCCAAGACGAAGCGCAUCUUGUAGCGAAACCCCUUGGUGACGCCAGUGAUGAGAUUUUUCGAUCUCUCCUAAGAUCGAGCUCCAUCCGAGGGUUGUGUCGGGCCAUCAGGGUCUUAUUGCGGAAAAUCAUCCAUGUAAUUUCUCAUAACGAAGAAGACAGCCAGAAAAAGAAGGAUGGAAGCAAGGGAAAUCAAAUGAGGGCCUAGGGUCUCCCCAAGGCUUUAUAUAACCUACCCCAACAGCUCUGAUCGGCUUUCUUUGUGUAGGUACGUCGGCGUCCAGCAGGUGGAGUCCCUUCACCGACUCAACUAGCAGCUCCUCCGACUCAUCCGGCCUGGUCACCCUCGGGCCAAAUUUGAACCACAAUUGGUGUCACAAUAAUUUCAAGUUAAAGAAAAGUUUAAUUUAGUUCUUUUUUCCUCUGUAAUGCAUGAUUUUGCCAUUCAUUAGAAUUUAUAUUAAAGAAGAAGAGGGUGAAGCAUCAGUAGCAACGAUAGCAAGAUAACCCAUUAUAAACUUGGCCAUCAUUUAAUUGUGUGCACUAAUGCACCAACCCCAUGCUAAAUCUUUUCUUCUGGCAAGUUUGGCAAAUUAGGAUGCUUUACAAUUAUUAAGUCUUCCUUCUCCCCUUGAGUCAUGUCUACAAAUUCGGAUUUAGCUUCCUUUUUUUCGAUUACACGGUUCCGCUCCCUUGGGUCAUGAAUACAUAACUCAUAACAUCAAUAGAGCUUGCACAUGGAUAGGCGUCGUUCCUUCAAGCCCAGUAUGCGAUGGCUGCAGCAGUGAGAGCCAAUGUCUCCACCAGCCCGUUCUGCUCUUUGAAAGGAGAAAACCGGGUCCGACCCAUGCCAAAGACUGAAUUCGGGGGGCUGUCGAAGUGUUCUUGGCACUCAUAUGCGAGGGCAGCGAUGGUAAUCAUGAGAUGGUGAACUCUCUUGUAAUCUCCUGUGUCUAUGGCGUGCACGAUCCCCUUGAGGUAUCGCUGAUUAAACUUGUACUCCAAACGGCAUGCUUGAAGGCAGUCUUUUGACCAAGGAUCGGUUUCCCUGGGGAAGAGCUUAUCGGCGAUGGAGUAGAUCUCAACCACCCUGGAGCGCACGUUCUCGUACAGGAUCUUCAAGAAGACUUUGCGAUCCUCGGUGUUGCUGCGGCUGUCAUGCUUGAGAACAUUGACGCAGAGGUCGUAGUCGGUGGAGUUUUGGCACACGUAGUCGAUCGCCUUGAUCGUUUUCUCGUCGUUUGGAACAGGCUUGGCUGCGUGGGAGGCAGGGGGAGAUGGGGAGAAAGGUUGGGGGGGAUGACAUGAUACGAGAACAAGGGACAAGAGAACUGUGAAGCCAAAGGCUACAAAGGAUUUGGAUGCCAUUCUUUGCCUCUCGCUCUCUCUUCUUUCGUCCCUCUUCCCUGCCGUUCCCACACCGAAUUCUUUUUUUUUUGCUGAACCCACA